CAAAUAGGUGUGUGCAGCAAACCGCAACGGGUGACCGGCCUGGCGAUCGCGCACUAGCCGUACAACAAUUUAAUGGAAUAUAUGGUGCGAUAAGAGAGACCAUAAACGGGACUGUGUGAGAGAAACACGAAUAUUGACUUC
ensembl:ncRNA F52B10.9 ncRNA